rnacentral:misc_RNA from 1 species
AACGCACAUUGCGCCCCUUGGUAUUCCAUGGGGCAUGCCUGUUCGAGCGUCAUUUGUACCCUCAAGCUCUGCUUGGUGUUGGGUGUUUGUCUAUGCUUUUGCUUGGACUCACCUCAAAGCAAUUGGCAGCCAGUGUUUUGGCAUAGAAGCGCAGCACAUCUUGCACUUCCAGUCUUAAACACCAGCUUCCAGUAAGUCCCUUUACGUUUGACCUCGGAUCAGGUAGGGAUACCCGCUGAACUUAA